rnacentral:lncRNA from 1 species
UGAGAAUAAUCACACAGAGUGCUGCAGGACACUUUAAGCUAUUUUAAGUUCCAGGCAGGACUGUAGCUGCAUUCCUAAAGUAAAUAAGGAGCAUAAGCUGGGGUCAAAUUCUGGCCUUACUGAAGCAAAAGCAAAAUCUCUAUUGGCUUCAAUGGCAUCAGGAUUUCACUGGUUUGCACUGGGAUCAAGAAGACGUGAAGCACUGAACAGUUUUCCCUGCAGGCACCACUGAAGGUUUCAGCAUGGCUUUGUAUUCUGAUGGGGAUUUUCCCAGUAUGCUUUUCUCGUUGGUGCCUUUUAAAUCUGGAAGCCAGCAAGGUGAUUGCCUUGUGUGAUUGCUAUAGAUUGGGCUACUUCUUUUUUCCUUCUAAAUGGAAACUGUGUUAAGCUCUUCUAAUAUGAAGG